GUGCGGUUGGCGCAGUGGUCAGCGCGUUGGCAUUCUAAGCCGGAAGGUUCAGUGUGAGAUGAGUGUGGUCGCGCCCCUCAUAGCUCACCAGAAUCCGGGGUGGCUGCCAAAGGUCCUGGGUUCGACUCCCAGAUCGCACA